rnacentral:rRNA from 1 species
CAGUAGCCGCGGUAAUACAGAGGGUGCGAGCGUUAAUCGGAUUUACUGGGCGUAAAGCGUGUGUAGGUUGUUGUUCAAGUCAGUUGUGAAAUCCCUGGGCUCAACCUGGGAACUGCUUCUGAGACUGAACGACUAGAGUACGGUAGAGGGUGGUGGAAUUUCCGGUGUAGCGGUGAAAUGCGUAGAUAUCGGAAGGAACAUCAAUGGCGAAGGCAGCCACCUGGGCCUGUACUGACACUGAGACACGAAAGCGUGGGGAUCAAACAGGAUUAGAUACCCCCGUAGUCCCUGUCUCUUAUAC